rnacentral:piRNA from 1 species
GAGAUUUUAUGGUGACUGAGUACUG